AACAUUUUUUCCAUUGAAAAUAAAUUUUUAAAUCUAAAAUAGAACACAAAUUAUUAAAUUUUUUUAGAACAAUUCAUGAAAUUAAAUUUAGUAUUUACUGAAUCCUCAACGAGAUUUUAACCGACCAAGCGGCCUUAUUUCUUUAUUUUUUUUUUGCCUAAAUUUAAUUAAAUUGAUUGCCUUCUGGCCGAUGACGAAAUCGUCGAUAGAUUGUCGUUUUGCUAGUCGCGUGCGGAGCGAGCGAAUGAAUGGGAAAGGGGGAUGCGCUUGGCGAAAUGUGACGUCACGAGAGUGAGGUGCAAAAUAAUUGUGCGUGCAGUUUGCUGCUUUUUAUUCGCUCACCUGUCCCCACUCGGAACAAAUCUCGCCGCCGUUUCUCUCAGCCGUGUGCAUUUCGCGUGUAGUGGCAUAGCUAGUGUGUGGUUUAGAUUAAGCUUUAGUCGCAUUUUAGGAGUAGUGGGGACCAUUUUUUGUGAACAGGAAAGACACAAACGCGCUUUAAACAUGUUGAGCAUAUACAAAACAAAGGAGAGCCCGUCGUACAUACACUUGUGAGUGGCAAACGCAAUUCUGCACCCAAUUGAAUCCUCGUUGACUCUCGAAUUACAGCCAAUCUAAGAUAAUCAAACGAAUCUCGCAAUUAAUUAUGUGUAAUUUCUUCAACAGAUUGCAGCCUUGAAAAAUUUAUUCAACUAUUUCACAAGGACCAAAAUCAACAAACAUUUUUAUUUAGAAAUAUCUUUAAAAUAAAAUUUUUUAAAAAUAUUAAACUUUUAAUGUAUAUUUUUAAUAACAAAAUUCUACAGCUUUCAAUAGAACCAAAAUGGGCGAUUUUUUUUAAUAUUUUUUAUAUUUUAUAAAAUUUUUUCCAAAAUUUGUACAAAAACAAAUUUAAUAAAUCGUUGGGAGUUUUAUUUGAAAAUUAUUAAUUAAUAGGUCUG